rnacentral:rRNA from 1 species
GUCUGUGGCCACACCACCCUGAACAAGCCCGAUGUCUGAUCUUGGAAGCUAAGCAGGGUCGGGCCUGGUUAAUACUUGGAUGGGAGACCACCUAGGAAGACCAGGUGCUGUAGGCA